AUCGAACGCUGGCGGCAUGCCUUACACAUGCAAGUCGAACGGCAGCACGGGAGCAAUCCUGGUGGCGAGUGGCGAACGGGUGAGUAAAGUAUCGGAACGUGCCCAGUCGGGGGGGAUAACGUAGCGAAAGUUACGCUAAUACCGCAUACGAUCUAUGGAUGAAAGCGGGGGAUCGCAAGACCUCGCGCGAUUGGAGCGGCCGAUAUCAGAUUAGGUAGUUGGGGGGGUAAAGGCUCACCAAGCCGACGAUCUGUAGCUGGUCUGAGAGGACGACCAGCCCCACUGGGACUGAGACACGGCCCAGACUCCUACGGGAGGCAGCGGUGGGGAAUUGUGGACAAUGGGCGAAAGCCUGAUCCAGCCAUGCCGCGUGCAGGAUGAAGGCCUUCGGGUUGUAAACUGCUUUUGUACGGAACGAAAAGGUUUGGCCUAAUAAGCUGAGCUCAUGACGGUACCGUAAGAAUAAGCACCGGCUAACUACGUGCCAGCCGCCGCCGUAA
rnacentral:rRNA from 1 species